rnacentral:rRNA from 1 species
UGGUACCCACAGAAGAAGUCCCGGCUAACUUCGUGCCAGCAGCCGCGGUAAUACGAAGGGGGCUAGCGUUACUCGGAAUUAUUGGGCGUAAAGCGUGCGUAGGCUGCUUAGUAAGUCAAAAGUGAAAGCCUUGGGCUCAACCUAAGAAUUGCUUUUGAAACUACCAAGCUUGAGUACUGUAGGGGAUAGCGGAAUUCCUAGUGUAGGGGUGAAAUUCGUAGAUAUUAGGAGGAACACCGGAGGCGAAAGCGGUUAUCUGGACAGUUACUGACGCUGUUGCACGAAAGCGUGGGGAGCAAACAGGAUUAGAUACCCUGGUAGUCCACGCUGUAAACGAUGAGUGCUA